CAAUGCAAUUACACCUGAAGUACAUAUUGUUCUUUCGCUAUAUUUAUCUUUGUAAAUAGACAGUAACUUCAACACUGUAAAGUAUGAACUACUUUCUAUUUGACAAUUUUGUGUUUUAUAAAUUACUCUCACAUAGCGUCUUUUCAUCACCGCUUCUAACUAAAACCUUAUAGUGGAUUAUUCAUUUGAAUGAAUCUUUUAAUUAAACGAAUCGUUCUCUUACUGACUUCACGACGCACCCUGCAGAUAAGUUCGCUGAAACAAUCAGCGAAAAUGAAUAUUUUUAGUGAACUAAUUCGAAAGAUUCGAGUCACUGUGAAGAAUCCAAAACCCCACCAGUACGUUUGAAUCACAUGUCUCUCACAGCCCCUAUGAUGAUUGACAGUAGAUCUCUUCCAAUCAAACGAGGUCAGUUCCAAAAGGGGCGGGAUUCUUAGUUGUAUCGUAACAAGCUAGGCUGCAACACCACCCCCCAGUCUGGACUCCUACAUACAAACAUACACGAGUGGUGCCUUGUUUUGGUCUGUUACGGCUUCGCAAAAAAAGAAAACUCAACGACUUUAGGAGAAACUUAUGCAGCGGUUCAAAUGGAUUUGGUACUCAACGGGAGAGUCUGGAUUUGUGGCAUGUAGACUGCACUCUAGAGGCCUGCAGCAUAUGGAAAGUCUUUCAGAAUGUGGAGGAGCAAAGAAGGACAUGAGGUCGUACCUCAUCAAUGGAGUUCUCCACAGACAUUCCUUCAGCAGGAGCUCUGUGACGGGCCAGCAGCAGACAAAAGGAUCUCCUUACUCUGUGUGUGUGUGUGUGUGUGUGUGUGUGUGUGUGUUUGGGGUCAAUUAACCUGCUAGCUGCUGGGAUUUUACCCUGAUUGUAUUUAGUAUUUAAUGAGAUUUGUUACAUGCUGCCUGGCAAAAAGUCCCGCAUGAGAAAGCAGUGUCCUUGCUUUCACCGGCCCAGAUUGUGAGCGCUCUCACUGGUGAUGGUGUCCUCUCAUACACCACUUUAACUCAGUUAGCCUCAGUAAACUCGCUUUUCUCUGUUUCAGAUUAGUGAUGCACAGCUUUUGACAUAUUAAAACAACUAUGAAUAGAAGCGAAACUGAUGCAAUUCAGACUAAUUGAUAACUGUUGUUAAAUGGCUUGGUUAAUGUUUGAUAUUCGCUUAUACUACACUUGCUAGGGUGUUGUGGGUGGUUGCCAGGGUCUCACUUUUUGCUAGUGGCUUACAGAGUGGAUUUUGUUGAUAGGAUGGUUUUAGUGAGUUACUAUGCAGUUGCUAGGUUGUAUUUUUUAUGUGUUGCUAUGCAGUUGUUUAAAGCCCAUUCCCACAUUUUCCAGUUUA